UCAUCAGCCUUUGUUGGACUUGGUGUCUAGUUUUCAAAAAAAGUUACAGCUGUCACUUUAAUGCUCAAGCUCUGAAAGGCCCAUCAAGGACAGGUGGUGCUCCAGCUGUUGAGAGCUAAAAAGAGAAGCACACAAACAGACAUGGGAAAAUUCAGACCAUCCAGGAGCAUGAGCCGUUGCCAUCGCAGAAAGCAACAAAAAAGAAGUCAUGGAGGUGGAUCUGGAAAAAGAAAGAGACAGCCUGGCAAAACAAGGAGAGGUCAGAGGUCUCAUGGGCUCAGGAGAGAGAGGAGGAGAAGACAUGACUAAACUCCUCCUUUGUGGUCUUCUCUGGUCUUGAUCUAAAAAGCUGACCUUUCUAGAACUUCCACCAAACAAAAAAUGAAAUGAAGUAAAAUUCUUUUCAUCAGAACAACCAAGAUGACUUCCCAGGAAUCAAACAACAGGAAAAUGAUUGAGCAAGGCCACCUGUCAAUAAAUGUUAGCAUUUCA